UGUUAACAGUGGUCUUCCUACUAGGACACACCUCCUCAGUGGUAACAGUGGUCUUCCUAUUGGACACACCUCCUCAGUGGUAACAGUGGUCUUCCUACUGGGACACACCACCUCAGUGGUCUUCCUACUAGGACACACCUCCUUAGUGCUAACAGUGGUCUUCCUACUAGGACACAUCUCCUCAGUGUUAACAGUGGUCUUCCUACUAGGACACACCUCAGUGUUAACAGUGGUCUUCCUACUGGGACACACCACCUCAGUGGUCUUCCUACUAGGACACAUCUCCUCAGUGUUAACAGUGGUCUUCCUACUAGGACACACCUCCUUAGUGCUAACAGUGGUCUUCCUACUAGGACACAUCUCCUCAGUGUUAACAGUGGUCUUCCUACGAGGACACACCACCUCAGUGUUAACAGUGGUCUUCCUACUAGGACACACCUCCUCAGUGUUAACAGUGGUCUUCCUACUAGGACACACCUCCUCAGUGUUAACAGUGGUCUUCCUACUAGGACACACCUCCUUAGUGCUAAUAGUGUAACUCUGGUUCAUAGGCACAUGAUUACUGCAGGCAAUAGCUGUAGGAUCAACAGAGGCUUUCAGGCAGUUAGAGGGACAUAUAUUUGGUGACGUACAUUGUGUCUACCAACACCCCUGGUGUAAUGUACAUUUGCCUGAAGCAUUAUGACAACUCAGCGUCACAAUGGUAGGGAUUAACUGAGCUGGGCUUGGGUCUUUAAUAAGUCAUUGUCUCAACGCAGCCUUAUAAUGCAGAUUAACAGCAACAAGAUAUCAUGAUGAAACAGCAGUUUGAAUUUGUUAUUCUAAUGGUCAUAUUGGUAACAAUAAAUAGUGAUGUAGUCUUUUCAACAUUUUAUUAGUGAAAAAGCUGUGUGCAUUAAUUAAAUAGAUUCCUGGGGAUCACUGUCCCAAGCCAAUGCAUAUCUCCGGAGUAGGCGGUAGGCCUAUUUCACUGUAGUCAGGGAAUGGACUCUGUUCCAUGUCAGUUAGUAUCUAAGUCCUGACUAACCACUAGAGUCCACAGACUAUGAAGUAAUCACACACAACCACAGGAGUGUCUGAUAUCUCACACAUAUCUGUUAUCACACAUUAAUUAACCGGUUGAACAAGCCAAGUUGUGCCCUCCGCUCUGCGGUGACUAUGUCCAACCCAGUAUUAUUAGAAAUAUCACCUCAGUCUGAGAUCAUCAUGAAACAUCUCAGGAUGAGAUCAAUGGAUUGUAGAACCACACUAGUACUGCAGUAAGACCCAUAGACCCACUAGUACUGCAGUAAGACCCAUAGACCCACUAGUACUGAAGGUAAGACCCAUAGACCCACUAGUACUGCAGUAAGACCCAUAGACCCACUAGUACUGCAGUAAGACCCAUAGACCCACUAGUACCGCAGUAAGACCCAUCUCACAGUACCGCAGUAAGACCCAUAGACCCACAAGGACAACAGUAAGACCCAUAGACCCACUAGGACCGCAGUAAGACCCAUAGACCCACUAGGACCGCAGUAAGACCCAUAGACCCACUAGGACCGCAGUAAGACCCC
ensembl:lncRNA